CUUAGAACUGAAAAAAAUACCUCUGUCUUGUCUGGCCCCUCAGCCCUGUGACAAUCAAAGCCUUCAUAGCUCUGUUUUUCACUUCAGUCCCAGAGAGGCUAAAUGAUUUGCACAAGCUCAUAAUACUGUUAUAUAGCCAGGGGCCUUCUAGUCUCAUGUGGCUUAUAUCACAGUUUAGAGUAAAUAAUAGAAAAAUCUCUCCCUUUUUACCAGUAUAGCUCAGCCGUAAUAGUGGUUAUAAUUUUUCUUUUAAAAAACUUCUUUAAUGAAAAGCGUUCAUUUAUUUUUGAGAGACCGAGAGAAAUAGAGCAUGAGCUGUCAGCACAGAGCCCGACAUGGGGCUUGAACCCACAAACCGUGAGAUCAUGACCUAAGCCAAAGUCGGACGCUUAACCGACUGAGCCAACCAGGCGCCUCAUAAUUUUUCUUUUCAGUUGAACAUGCAGAGUUAGGUAGGAGAAAGGAGGGCUGAACACAAGAGAGUCGGAUGAUCUGCCUCACUUUACUCAUUUUAUUGAUCUGGGAUGGUUGGCCAGAUCUCCUUCACAUCCAUACUAGCUUAGUCGGAAGCAUUGGCUCCAAGUCACUGCCAGAGAAACAAUAUAUCCUGCGAUGACGCAGUCUCUAACUUUGAGGAAUUCAGAAAUUAGAAGGAAAGGCACACGAUACUUUUUUCUUAAGUAACGCAGUGUGUGACGUGCUGAAGUAAAGCUUUGAUCCAGGAACUGUUGAAAUACAGAGGAAUUUUAAGCAAACCCUGAGAGAGGAGGAUUGAGAAGUGUCAUAGAGGAAGUGCGGUUUGACAAGGACGCGGGGAAACAGGGGUACAGUCCAGGUUGUCCUUGGUAAGGACUGUGUGAUUUGGGGAGGCUGGCAUGGCAGGGGCAGAACCGAGAAGAAGAUUGGCUCAGCGGGAGAGGAGAUUUAAAACAUACUUUGGGUCAUGGCUUAGGGGACUUGGUUGUAUACGAAGCUAGCAAGUUUGUUCUCUGUGUGCGCUUGGAAGCUCUGUACGGCUUUGGAGCAGAACAGUGAAACCUUUAGUUUUUUUUCUGGAGAGAUAACUUUUUUAUUUUGGGUAAGACAUUUAAUGGGAGCGGGCUGGAGGUAAAGAUGCCUGUUGAAUAGUUUAACACCAUCAUAAUUUCUGGUGCGAGUGUCCCAGACUGAAGAGUCAGUUCAAGAUUGGCUGCUAAGUCAAGGUUAUCUCCAGGUUUUUAGCUUUUUAAUUCACGGUUUCUCGACCUUUUUUUUUUUAAAUUGCUGAUUUCUGGUUUUUGGGGUGUAUAGCCCAGGAGAUACAUUAAAGGGGCUCAGAAAAAUACAGUAAAAUAAAUCACAGAACAGUCCCUUAUAUGGAGAUGGAGUUUGUGUGGAUUGUAAUAAAUUGCUGUUGUACAUCGUGCACAGUGGAGCUGAUGGGGAGAUUGAAACCAAAAAAAGAGAAGUUUGAUUCAAAACUAACAUAUAUUCCAACUUAAAUGUGAACAACCACUUGAUAAGUUGCACUCGAGACAGCGGAUUUAACCUGCAAGGAAUCCCAGCAAGUUCUCACGGAAGUGGUAGCCUUCGAGGGACAUUCUUUGUAAAAAAAAAAAGCCUGGGUUAGGGAAGCAAGUCCUAGAACUCAGAAAGGUCUCCUUCUGAAACGGAUUCCAAAGCUCUAAAGGUUAAUAAGCCAUGAAAACCCUGCCAUCUCAGUCUAAUUGUAGUUGCUUUUAGAAUAAGACAUAAUGUGGAUGUAUUGAUAAAAUUCUCAGUGAUAUUCAUAAACUGUACCAACUUUAGUUUCCUGUGGUGUUCGCUCUCUUGUGACAUAAGGAUGUUAGAGGAGCAAAGAAACACCGCUGACCCUUGAGCAACUUGGGGGUUGGGGGCACUGACCCCCACCCGGUCCAAAACCUGGGUAUGACUUCUGACUCCCGGAAAAACUUAACUGAUAGCCUACUAUUGACCGGAAGCCGUUACCGAUCACGGUCAGUUAAUGCAUAUUUUGUUUGUUAUAUGUAUGAUAUUGUGUAUACUUACAGUAAAGUGGCAGAAAGAAGAAAAUGUUAUUAAGAAACUCAUAAGGAAAAUACAUUUACAGUACUGAGUUUAUCGAAAAAAGUUUGCGUGUACGUGGAUCUGCGCAUUUCAAAUCCGUGUUAAGGGCACACUGUGCCGACAUUUCUUUGUUUGUUUUUAAUGACACAAGUUGUGGCUUGUGGACGGGGGUCUCUUGUGAUGGUGUCGUGCUAACUGAUUGCGGUUAGUGUGAUCAACCUCAACAGCCCCCUCGUGGGGAUCAGCAGGACAGAGGGAGGCUUCUGUUCUCUCUCUGAAAGAUUCUACCAACCGGCCGCAUUCAUAGGCUUUAACUGAAGCCACCUACUCCAUUGUGUAGAAGCCACUGAGGCAGUCUUUCUCGCCCCAAGUCUGGAUGUAGGGGUUAAGAGUAUUUGUUGAAAGACCGUGGAAAAAGAAAGUAUUGUGUAGCAUUCAUUUUGCGGCUUAUAAAACUCAAAUGAUUCUAUCGAAGAUACUAAAUUGUACGUGAGAAGAGCCUGCCAUUCUUGUUAAAAUUCAAGUGACAUGUGAAAGGUUUCAGAUAUUUUAUAGCAGCUCUUGUGUUUGAUAUUUUAGAAUAUUCAAAUGGUUUAAACGCCUCAAGCGUUAGUACAUGCAUCGAAAGAUGCACAUCUUCCGUAGUAUAAAUUUACAUGUCUUCUGUGUUCAUAGGGGACGAAAAUUCAAGCGUACGCAGUGAUCAUUUUAUCAGCGAGGAGUGAAGUUUUUGUACACUUUUCUCUUAAGGCUGGAAUCAUAGUAGUUGUAGAAGUACUAAUGAUUAUUGUUCUGUGUAACUUUAUAAUUUUUAGAACCUCUUUACAUAUGGUGUCUCAUUUGAAGAUUUGCUAGGGUAGUAGGGGAAAUUUUCACUUGUCUCCAAAUCCGAUUCCCAGCAACACCACCAUAUGGAACAUAGCCAUGAGUCUGGAAAUAAAUGGAAACAGCUUCUGAUUGGAAAAAAAAAACAGAUGUCACAGAACCCAUAGUUGAGCUUAAUUGAAAAGAGGAAGCCAUCGUCAAGCCAUGUCCCUAAAGGAGCAGAUUAGAGCCCCCUUGAUUCCGACGCAUUCAUGAGGUAUAACAGCUGGCAAGAGGAAAUAGAAGUGACGAGGUGACAAGGGUCUUCUGUUUACUCUUGGGCUAUCCAACAGUACAACGUGUGCACAUUCAGUGGAGGGCCAAGGAGACCUAGGUAGUCCAGAAGCCCUUCGAGUAUCGUCAGUCGAGGGACUAGAAUCUAGUCUUAACACAGUGUAAUGACUUUGGCAUAUUGGUGACCUUCUAGGUAAUCGAGAAGAGCUGAAGUGUCCUGGUCAAGAAAGCAAGAGAAUGUGUACUAGCUUCUUUUAAUAUCUUCGGUUGAAAAUAUUUCUUAUGAAAAUAACUUCUGCACUUAAAUGUAAUCUUCCGUUUUUCAAGGCCAUUUACUCAUGGAUAAUUGGCUUGCCCUCAUUCAGAUAAUAAAUAAGUUAGGUUAUCAUAGAGCCCAAAGAUCAGUAAUCUUCAGCUGUGCACACCAGGUAAAAAUGCUUGCUGCAGUUUAUUUUUAAUAUUUCAGAGACGUACCUAAAGAGCAUAAGGUUGGCAUACCUAUCUUAGUUAUGUUUCCAAAUCCUCGUAGCAGAAGUGGUGGGACAGAGAGCCCAGUGCUGUUGACCGUGGGCUGGGCGGGGUUUGAUCUCAGUUUGAUCUGUUCUCAAGCUAUUAAAGCGCAUUAAUCAUUCCUCCAGCAAACACGUAGCAACCAGCAGCUGCGUAGAGAAUAUGUCCAUCACCUCCAACAGAGAUACCACAGAAUCAUAGAAUGUUCAGCUGGAAGGAAGAGGUUACCCAGUCCAACUCAUCCUCUUAAUGAGAAAACUGAAGCCCGUACAGGUUAAAUGACCUGCCCACAAUCAUGUAGCAACCAGGGCAGGAACCUAGUCCGCUUGUCCUUAUAAGAAUGCCUCCUUGGGGAGCCUGGGUGGCUCAGUCGGUUGAGCGUCCGACUUCGGCUCAGGUCACGAUCUCGCGGUUUCUGAGUUCGAGCCCCGCGUCGGGCUCUGUGCUGACAGCUCGGAGCCUGGGGCCUGCUUCGGAUUCUGUCUCCCUCUCUCUCUGCCCUUCUCCCACUCACGCUCUGCCUCUCUUGCUCCCAAAAAUAAAUAAAUAUGAAAAAAAUGUUAAAGAAAGAAAAAGAAUGCCACCUUUAAAGAGGGAAGAUAACCCAAACAGAAACAUACACAUGUAAUAAAUUUUUGCAUAUGAAAGAAAAGGAGGGGGCACCUGGGUGCCUCAGCCAGUUAAGCUCUUGAUUUCCGCCCAGGUCAUGAUCUUGAGAUUCGUGAGUUCGAGCCCCCUGUGUGCUGUCAGUACAGAGCCUGCUUGGGAUUCUUUUUCUCCCUCUCUCUUUCUCCCCCCGACCUCUAAAAAUAAAUAAACUUAAAAAAAAAAAAAAAGGAAAUACAACACGUUAGUAUGUCCAUACUAGUGAGGGAAUGUGUCACCUCCUGCCUCUUUGAGUGGUCCCUUCACAGGAAGUGGAUUCUGUGAAAGAAGGAAACUUUGUGGCACUCGGAGGAGGGGAAACUGAGGCCAGGUGGAAAGAUGAUAGAGCAAGGCUACUUUUGCUCUGCUGUAGAUUAGUGUGAAAGCACGCAUGUUCCGAAGCAGUGACAGAGGACAAGAACCCUUGUCAUUAGAAGACCUUCCUUAGUCUGGACGUCACAGACUAGUGGAAAGAACUCCAUAUUUAAAAUUGGGAAAUGAGAGUCAGAGUUCAGGCUGCUUUGGCAUUUCUGCAGUGUGUGUAACUGAACUUCACCGAACCUUGGUUUCUCCAUCUGCAAAAUAAAAAUAUAAAGAGUAGACCACCUCACAGAUUGUUUUGAAGUUCAGGUGGAAAAAAGUAUAUAAAUGUUUUUUUUUUAAUAGCUGGAAAUAUUCAAGAAUUAGGUAAUCUAUUAUUCUGUACUAUUAUACUAUGUGUACCAGAGAAAAAUAUUUCUUUAAGAAUAAGGCUGUUUCAGAGGAGAAUGAACCCAAGCAGUUGGGCAACUUUGGGUUCCAUUUCUUUCUUUCCAUUCUUUCCCAUUCUUCCAUCCCUCCCUCCCUCCCUCCCUUCCUUCCUUCCUUCCUUCCUUCCUUUUUCUUCCCCAGUGGUUUUCAGCUUUGAUUGAUGUUAAUAGUGUAUUAUCCCUUUCCUAGAACGUGAACCCCCCGGGGUCAUUACAGAGCUUAGCAUCUAGACCUGGCAGGUUGGUCUGAGAGAGCAAAAGGUAGCAGGAAUCUUUAGUGGGAAGUUGAUCAGGUGCUCUGCCUUUGGCUUUUGGAAACAUAAGGAAUCUCGGGCACUGAAAUAUUUAAUGUUCACUAGGCCACUGCUGUAUGUAGUCCCUGAUGUCAAGACGGUUUCCCCUGACGAUAAAAGAAUCACAGAUAAUCACAGUUCAGUAAUUAUUAACUAUGGUAAUUCGUGUAAAGUUUGUUAAGGGUAACAGCUACCACUCCCCCUUCUGACAGACAUUUAUUGCCCAUUUAAAAUGUCCUUCAGUAAGCUCUUUCUAUGCAAGAUCUCAUUUGGCAAUUACGUGGGCUAUUUACCGAUAAGGAAAUCGAGACCCAUUUAGUUUUGCCGUAUGCAGGAAGGUCACUGAUGUGUUGCUUCUUAGAGCCUCGGGUUGUUCUCUCCUGUGGUUGUUGCCAUCUUGGCGUCAGGUGGCGUCGCGUUGUUAUUUUCCAAAUACAGGAGGAAGGGGGACAUCCCUCUAGAAUGGGUGUAACGGAAAGGGCCACUGGGAGGACCCACUGGAGAAACUUGUGAGAUGAGAAUAGCGUCUGCCUCUUUCAACAUUAUAGCCUCAGCACCUAAAGAGGGCCCUUGGCUCAUUUGUCCGCGCUCUGUACGUACUUGUCAAGUGAACGAAUGAUCCGGGCUUUCAUUUUAGCCAACAGCUUCAACCUCGUCCUUUCCGCAUGAACCCCGCUGCAAUUAAGACAACUACCCCCAUCUGAAUGUAAUUGUCCCCUCCUCUCCUUGCCCCACGGUAGAUGUAGAGCUAAUGAAGAGACAGGUACUUCCCGAGCCGCCCACAAGAAUGGAAGAGACGGAGCCACUGUCAUUAACCAGCAGGGUUGAUGUUCGAAGUCGUGGAGACACAGACGUGCUGAGUGGGACAUCAGGGAGUCGGUAUUCUCAAAGAAAGGCGUUCUCAGCCCUCCCGGUUUUCCUCUGACCUGUUCACGUUUUAUACCAUUCCAGGCCUCGAGCCACCUAAAGAUUUUCUGAGGUGCUUGUUCUAAAGAGAAUCUCAAGAUUCCGAUAGACAACUUGAGCCUCUGUCCCUGAUUCUGAGCUCAGCAUUUCAAUUUGUUCCUGCAUAUCAGAUGACUGUGUCCUUCCUAGAAUGGUGAAGGCUCUCUUGGCCCGUGCAGUUGAGAGUUUGCAUUUUUCCUGUGCGUUUUUCACCUGCUUCAGAGGGACUUUUCCAAAUGUUGCACUCAGUCCACUGAAAAUCCCGGUACUGCUAAAUAUAAGAGAGUCAAUAUAAUAAAUAUAGGCCACUCUUUGCCUUUCACUGGAUUCCUUCUUGUCUGCACAUGUGAGAUAAUUGACAGAAUUAGAUAUUAUUUUACAGUAGAGUUCCAGCUGUCCAAGUUCUAAAUCACAGGUAUGACUAACCCCAUGGGGGAAGAUUCCUAACAAUUUACCGUGUUUUCCAUGUUAGCGACAGGUUUCGUGCACACGCUCCGCUAUUAAAGCAUUAGACUUUCUUUGAUUUCUUAAUCAUUAACAACUUUAGCUUUGAUUGCCCAUGGAGCUGCAAGCUGUUAAAAUUAUCAUUUGCCUCUUACUAAUUUUGAAACCAAGAGCUGUUUCUUCGUUUGAUGUAGCACAGGUCUUUCUCAGAGCACAUAUACUCAGGAGCACUAAGAAUCUCCUGGAAGAAAAUAUAAUCUAAAGCUAUUGGAUUUCUAAAAUAGAUGGGAUAGAGACAAUACUCUUUUUAAAAAAAAAUUUUUUUAAGUUUAUUACAGAGAGAGAGAGAGAGAGAGAGAGAGAGAGAGAGAGAGAGACAGCAUGCACAUGAGUGGGGGAGAGGCAGAGAGAGAGGGAGACACAGAAUCCAAAACAGGCUUCAGGCUCUGAGCUGUCAGCACAGAGCCCGACGCGGGGCUCGAACUCACAGACCGCGAGAUCAUGACCUGAGCCAAAGUCGGACGCUCAACCAACUGAGCCAUCCGGCCGCCCCGAGAAAAUACUCUUAAAUACUAAAAAGUGCAGCUUUUUAAAAGAUUCAACAAAGAAUUUAUUUUUUUUCAGGAGAAAAGUGUCUCUGGGUUUUUACGGUUUAGUGUGUGAAUAGUGGAUAUUUUAUGAAGAAGCUAAGGAGGCAGGAAAUUUGAAAGCUGUGUUUCAACGCUAAAAGGUCAGUUGAAAUUCACCCAGGGUUAACAUAGUGUUGGGUUAUCAUGAAAGCCAGCAGAAUGUAAAAAACCUCCUGGAAAGAUUUUGUUUGUACAUAGCCUUUUCAAAACCACGCCCCUAAAGUCUUUAACCCAUAGUGAAUGCUCAAUAAAUAAUUGUUAAAUUGAUUUGAUACAUGUUAAGACCAAUUGGUAGUAUGAUCAAAUGAAAUAUGUGACCUUGAGCAUUCAUUCAUUCAUUCAUUUAUUAUCCACUCACUGGUAGUUAUGUCCCAAACGUUGUUUAUUGGGAACAAAUUGAAAAUUGGUGACUCAGUGUACAAAAAAUGGCUUUUCUCUGACGUUAUGGGUAUACGUGGACAGCCCUGGGCUGAAGGAAUUUAUAUCGGGCCAAGAGGCUCCUGCCGACUAGUUCUGUGCAGGCUACUCAAGACAUAUCUGGGAGGCAGGUUAACAUGGCCAAUUCCUAAGCCCCAUUUUUAAAAAUUUUGCUGGCUAGACCUAGGGUGAGCCUAGCUCUUGAAUUUUUUGGAAAGCUACCCGGAUACGGAUACACGUUUAGGUUUCAAAACCCAAUGUAAGAUCAUAUCAUCUAUGACUGUUUCUUCCGGGAAGAAUCAGUUACCACAGAUAGUUAUUCAGCCUGUUUGUAAUGGGACUAUUUUUGACUUCCUGUUGGAGUGGUGGAGACUCAACUCUGAGGUGAUGGUAGCGAUAAGAUGUUCUCCUUCGAUCAUCAGGAAGAUCAACAUGUAGCUUUCCUCCGACCAGUGUUUGUAAUUUCUGGGGGUUCUUUCUACAUGCCAGUCCCGUGCAGGGCAGUGCCCUGGGCAUAAGCCCCUACGUGACUUAUUACUUAAAACGAAGCACGCAAAUCAGCAUUACCUUGGAGCUCUCUCAUACUUCGAGGCUCCCGAGGAUACUGCUCUUGUCUGUGAGCCAUAUCAGUGCCAUUUAUGGCACCCACCACUCCCAGACUCACCCCCCAACCCUUCUCUGAGGAGAUACAACCUCAGGUUCUGGCUUCCAGUGGUCCCGUUGACAAGGCAACCAGAGUGUAUCCAUUCAAACCACCGUUCACCUUGCUAUUCUUACGGUUAGAAUAAAUCCCCUUUUCUUUUUUUUUUUUUUCCUUACCUAUCCUAUAUGAGAUUUGUUGUUAAGUACUGACCUGCACGGUCUCUUCAGAAUUCACCAACUUCCUUCCUUUUUAUCUACAGCCUACUCUUGAUGUGUUUUCCAUCUCCUGUGUAAUAGAGCGUACCUCUAAUCAGCCCCUCCCACUCAAUAUCAUUAUUAGGAAGCAUAAUCGUGCGUUAGUUAUAAUGUACUCUGAUUUUGGAUGCUU